rnacentral:rRNA from 1 species
AUGCACGCUGGCGGCGUGCUUAACACAUGCAAGUCGAACGAUGAAGCCCAGCUUGCUGGGUGGAUUAGUGGCGAACGGGUGAGUAACACGUGAGUAACCUGCCCUUAACUCUGGGAUAAGCCUGGGAAACUGGGUCUAAUACCGGAUAGGAGCGUCCACCGCAUGGUGGGUGUUGGAAAGAUUUAUCGGUUUUGGAUGGACUCGCGGCCUAUCAGCUUGUUGGUGAGGUAAUGGCUCACCAAGGCGACGACGGGUAGCCGGCCUGAGAGGGUGACCGGCCACACUGGGACUGAGACACGGCCCAGACUCCUACGGGAGGCAGCAGUGGGGAAUAUUGCACAAUGGGCGCAAGCCUGAUGCAGCGACGCCGCGUGAGGGAUGACGGCCUUCGGGUUGUAAACCUCUUUCAGUAGGGAAGAAGCGAAAGUGACGGUACCUGCAGAAGAAGCACCGGCUAACUACGUG